CUGUGCAUUGAAGUCCUUCACCCUCUAACGUGGUCUGCGCUCUUUCCCGAAUCUAAUAGACAAAAAUGAAGGAAUCCGACCUUUCACUUAGGAAUGCGUGCGCUACUUGACGUCCUGAUAGAUGAAAGAGGGCAGGCUCAACCAUAGGGCCAAGGGGAGAAGAGAGCUGGUCUACUGUCUACUAUAAAGUAAGCUCGAUCCAUAUUCAAGAUAUCCCACUACCUUCUAACUUUACUAAUUGCUGGUUGCAUUCCUUUAGUUCAAGAGUUCACGAGUGGGAGUGUCAUUUUAGUCAAAUCCGAUAUGACGUGUGUUUUUGUUCAGUGCG